CAGUCACCUCUGAAGCUGCCUCACUUACUGAGGAAGAAGAAAUCGCAUUAGGGAGGAUGCUAAAGAUUUUGUUUCUAAUAGAAUUAAUUUUACUUGUAAAAAAAAUCCCAUGAAGUCAUUGCUGCUGCGGGCUAAGGGAAUAGAUGGCUCAGAGCUAUGAUUCUGUGUAAGUUUAGCAACUGUACUGAAAAGAAAUUUAGGAUUAUGCUUAUUCUCCUCAAUUAAUGCUGAAAAAUAAGCAGUUCUAGUUUGUUGAAGCUUAUUUUAAUAAAGCACAAGACUAUUUUUCCAGGAUUGGUAGGCUUCCUCAUGGUGCGUAGAGCGCCAUGUUCUCUCCAAUUUCCUAGAGUUUUGUUUUAAGGCUCGUAAAUGAGAGUUAAACCAGGGAGCCAACUUCCUGUCCCUAAUUACCUUCUUUUUUAAAGGGGCUACAUCAUCUAAUGCCACACGUAAAGAGGAAUUAACAUGAUGAACUAAGGCAUCAAUUUGUGAGGGGCUAGAACUGAAAAUAUUGCCCUCUGUUACGUUCCUCUGAGAUGCUGAGGACAGUAAAGAUGGAACAGUUGAUUUAAAAGACGCAACUGCGUUGUCAGAUAGAGACCGACUAUAGUGAAAUUUACUUUCAUGUCUCGAGAACUCAGUUAUAAAAAACUCAAAGGUUAUCAGAAAGUGGUCCGAGAGGACUGGAUUAUGUGGAAAGAUCGUUAUUUCCUCACACUCAAUGCCAUAAAUCAGCACAAGGUCCAAUGUAUGAUGGCAGGAGUGGGUGGAGCUAUGUAUUCUUUGAGUGAAACCAAUUGAGUCUAAGAUAUUACUGAAGGCUACAUUGAGGCAAUCAUUUUCAAUGUCCACGUGAAUGUUGAAAUCCCCCUCUAUAAUGACCUUAUCAGUAUUUAGCACCAAAUCGCCUGGUGGACGAUAUAAAACUACAAACAAGAGUGGUUUUACAGUUUUGCAAUCUGGAUUAGGAAAACUAAGAAUAAGAUGUUCAAACGAACUGUAAUCUGUAAGGGACUGAUUAAUAAGUCCGAAUGAAAAAUGGUUGCUACUCCUCCUCCUCGCCCUGUACUUCGAGCAAUAUGAUGAUUUAAAUAAUUUGAAGGAGUCGACUCGUUUAAAGGAGCAUGGGGCAGGAAUUGUCCAAAAACAAAAAGUACAUGUUCAUUCUUGUGAAGCUUAUGGGUGAUGAAGCAUUUUAAACUAAAAAGAAUGAUGAAACCAGUUUAUCAUUCCAUUUUGUUAAUCACGCUGUGUGCUGCAAAAUGCAAAACAUUCCUGAUCCGAAUUUCCUGCGCUGUUUUACGGAUAUGACGUUAAUUGACGCUUCAAGCGCGUUCUCGACAAGGUUCAAACCCGGAAAAACAUUUGGAAGCUUGCUAGGUGGCGGUAAUGCGUCUUUCACUACUAGCCACGUUAAAACCUCAAACAGAAGAGGAAGAACCCUGGAAAUGGAUUCUACAACUAGCAAACGACCAAGCGCAACUCAAAGCCCACUAAAGUGGCACAAAGAAGAAGGUUUUAUCAGCGGCAUCUCGAGAGUCAAAAAGAAAAUAUGAUAAAAGUCGGUCAGGGACCCGAAUAUCUAUUGGUUACGCUCUGGAAGAAUGGAGGCUGCUUCAACUGGAUUUGGGCCUGAAAAAGGAUGCGGACAUGGCACAUUUUCUAGUGACCAGCUACCAGAAGAAGCAGGCUCCUGAAACUGCAAUUCAGGGAGGUAAUGUGCAGUCAACCUCAACACCCAGUAAGAGAACAGCAGCUAAAAUGUUGCAUCGAUUAUCUCCAACUGAACCUGUGUCUGAGGGGGAAGAUUUUCUAAUGGCUGGUGUUGAGGCCUUAGCUUAUGACCUAGAUUUGGAUCCUUUUGAAGAAAGGUAAAUAUGUUCAUGAGAAGUCUUGCCAUAUACGCAGGAAAUUACUGCUGUACUAUGUGCAAAAAAGAUAAAAACACAACAGAUCAGCAAAUAUAGGUCAUUAUAUAUAUUUAUGUUGUGAAGUGUCAAUUCACAGCAGAUUGUUGUUAUUUGCAGAAAGAAUUAAUGACAGAUGUAUUAGGCUCCACAUUUAUCUCUUUAGAAUCAGUACCAUUUCAGGUAAGUUCCAGUAUUUAUCUUUACGUACAACAAAUAUUAUUGUGUUGUCUGUAGUUUCAAAUCCAUGGAUCUAGCUAAUGAUGCAGUCCAAAUUGAUGAGGACCAAGCAAACAACUUAAUCAACAGUGUGUGAGUUGCAAUGUCUUCUUAUCUAGGGGUGGGCAAUAUAAACGAUAUAAGGUAGAAAUGAUAUAAAAUUGGGUAAUUUUACGGCCCCCAGCUCGUCUAGGAGAUGAUGUUAAAGGGGGCGUAAAGAAAGAUAUGUGAAUUACUGGACAAAACCAAGAUUUACUCUCUUAGAGGAGUUCAGGGCUGGACUGGGACAAAAAUUCAGCCCGGGCAUUUUGACUGGAGACCGGCCCAUCACCUGUUUUUUUUUGGAAAAGACAUUAAGCCUUACGCUGUUUCUGACACACACCAACGUACACUUUCUUAUUGGUAGUAUUUAUGUAUCAAUCUAAUAAACGUAAACCUACACCAUCCUUCCUAUCCUGGUAUUCUAAAAAGUAGGGUUGGGGGUAACUGAUUAUUUUUAAAAUGAUUAUUCUGACGAUUAUUUUAUCGAAUAGUCGACUAUUCUAAUGACUAUUUAGAUGAUUAAUCUAGCGAUUACUUUUCUAUUGCACAAUUACUAAAAACCAAAAAAUUCUCAAAUAAAUUCCUCCAAAAAAUUGAUAAGUCGUUACUGUAAGAGAAUAAACACUACAGGCCUUCCAUUUUGUAUAACACUGCUUUUAUUAUGUUGCGGUUGUUUAUGUUCUGGUGACGUGUAGAACUUGGGAGUGCAGGCUGCUGCCUGAGAGGUGGUUGGAGACGGAGUGUCUCCAUGCUGCUUUGUUUUGUUCACUUAUGUGCAUGAGGCAAGUGGUGUUACGACCCUUCCUGGGGAGUCACGUGUUUCUCCUAUUUUAACUGUAAAUCCUUCUUGCUGUUAUAUUUAUAACAAGAAACAGAUAUUCGGACAGAAAAUUUUCACGUUUAUUCGAAUAUGAUUGUGGAACACACCCAGCAUCAUAAUAAAUGAAGUAAUGUUUAUGCCAAUUUAAGCCUUUAUGGGUGACCAGGACUCUGUGAUCAAUUUUUGGCAAGGGAAAUUAUCAUUUGUUGCCAUUUUUGAGGUGUUUAUGAAUGUGGAAGACACCCAGCAUCCUGUGAUGACACUAAUAACAUCAAGAGAUAAUAAAUAAGGUAAUAUUUAGGUCAAUUUAACCCUUUACACGUGACCAGGACACUGUAAUCAAUUUUUGGCAAGGGAAAUGAUCAUUUGUUGCCAUUUUUGAGGUGUUUAUGAAUGUGAAAGACACCCAGCAUCCUGUGAUGGCACUAAUAACAUCAAGAGAUAAUAAAUAAGGUAAUAUUUAGGUCAAUUUAACCCUUUACACGUGACCAGGACACUGUAAUCAAUUUUUGGCAAGGGAAAUGAUCAUUUGUUGCCAUUUUUGAAGUGUUUAUGAAUGUGAAAGACACCCAGCAUCCUGUGAUGGCACUAAUAACAUCAAGAGAUAAUAAAUAAAGUAAUAUUUAGGUAAAUGUAACCCUUUACAGGUGACCAGGACACUGUAAUCAAUUUUUGGCAAGGGAAAUUAUUUUUUUUUUUCUUUUUUUCUGUGCCAUUUUUGGGGUGUUUAUGAUGAUACAGUAGGCAGUAUGAGUACAGUAACAUCAACAGAUAAUACAUAAAACCCUUAUUUGGUCAAUUUUAGUCUCCAUGAAAAUCUUAGCAAUUCGAUCACUUUUUGGCAAGUAAAAUGCCAUUUUAGUUGUCUACAAUUAAAUCAUCAAUAAAGAAUUUAAAGAUAUUUUGAGGCAUUUCUUAUAGGUAAACGGGAGGGUGUAGUCUAUUUGGCAAGUGACAAUCUUAAUUUUAUGUGCUGAAGUGCUUUUAUCUUGUUACUUUUAAAUAGAGCAACGUAAUGAAUAGUAACCUACACAGUGUCAUUAAAGCCAAAGCUUGAUCAUUUUAAAUACUUUUUUUCAAGUAAAAAUGUGCCCCAAACUAGUUAACUGUGGCUCCAUGUCAAGUGGACUAAAGAAAGGAAGGGGAAAAAAAAUUAAAUCGCUGGAGAAUUGUUUAUUUCCAUUUAUACAACGUUUACAUUCAAUACAGGGUACCAUUUUACAUUGUUUAUUUAUUUUUUUAGUAUCAAGGCUGUAACAUAAAGAAAGCCAGUUCUUACCACAAAGUUUGUGGCACAAACCAUCUUUCAAUCGCAAAUAUUGCAAAAAUGAUUAAUAUAUCCUCAUUGUGAAAGUUUAAGACAAAUAGCAACACUUAAAACAACUUCCGAACUGGAAAAACUAAUAUGGCAAGGU